rnacentral:rRNA from 1 species
GGGGAAGGUAGCUUGCUACUGGACCUAGCGGCGGACGGGUGAGUAAUGCCUUAGAAUCUGCCUAUUAGUGGGGGACAACAUCUCGAAAGGGAUGCUAAUACCGCAUACGUCCUACGGGAGAAAGCAGGGGAUCUUCGGACCUUGCGCUAAUAGAUGAGCCUAAGUCGGAUUAGCUAGUUGGUGGGGUAAAGGCCUACCAAGGCGACGAUCUGUAGCGGGUCUGAGAGGAUGAUCCGCCACACUGGGACUGAGACACGGCCCAGACUCCUACGGGAGGCAGCAGUGGGGAAUAUUGGACAAUGGGGGGAACCCUGAUCCAGCCAUGCCGCGUGUGUGAAGAAGGCCUUAUGGUUGUAAAGCACUUUAAGCGAGGAGGAGGCUACUUUAGUUAAUACCUAGAGAUAGUGGACGUACUCGCAGAAUAAGCACCGGC